rnacentral:rRNA from 1 species
UACGUAGGGUGCGAGCGUUGUCCGGAAUUACUGGGCGUAAAGAGCUCGUAGGUGGUUUGUCGCGUUGUUCGUGAAAACUCACAGCUCAACUGUGGGCGUGCGGGCGAUACGGGCAGACUGGAGUACUGCAGGGGGAGACUGGAAUUCCUGGUGUAGCGGUGGAAUGCGCAGAUAUCAGGAGGAACACCGGUGGCGAAGGCGGUUCUCUGGGCCUUACCUGACACUGAGGAGCGAAAGCGUGGGGAGCAAACAGG